UUUUGGGGAAUAGUUUAGAGUUAUGUUCACGUAUGUUUGGUCCCUCAUUUGAGUCCACCUGUGUAGGUUCGGACCCGAGGAACCGAGGACCCCAGCAGUGAGUCUGUUGCCCCAGUGUCUGGUCAGAGCUAUCCAGAGGUGAGUGGAAUAACUUAUUAUGUUUUAAAGCAAAGAAUGAACUUUUUAGCAUGUUUCACGCAUCAUGAAUGCCAUGUGAUGAAUUAGGUUGCUUGCAUUAGAAUUCACGAAUAUGUUGCAUUGCAUAUUUUUAUGUUGAUGUGGAUGAAUGUUGGAUGAUCC
rnacentral:lncRNA from 1 species